CAAAGUACUGAAUUUAAUUUGAGGACUGGGAUAAGACAAUUGAGAGUCACUAUCACCUGGAGAAAAAAAAAUGGCCCUUAUCAGUGUCUUUCCAAGGACCUAUUUUUUUACUAUCUAAUGUUACUGUUACAAGUGACACUAGAGAUGACUAAAGCUGGAAGAAGUUAGAUGAACCAAACCUCUUCAGAAGAGCACAGGUCUGA